rnacentral:rRNA from 1 species
GUGAACGCUAGCGGUGCGCCUAACACAUGCAAGUCGAGCGGUAGACUUUCUAGCUUGCUAGAAAGUUGAGAGCGGCGAACGGGUGAGUAACACGUUGGUAUCUGCCCCCAAGUCAGGGAUAGCUAUUGGAAACGAUGAUUAAUACCGGAUAAUCUCUUCGGAGUAAAGAUUUAUUGCUUGGGGAGGAGCCUGCGUUCUAUCAGCUUGUUGGUGAGGUAAAAGCUCACCAAGGCUAUGACGGAUACCUGGUCUGAGAGGAUGAUCAGGCACAAUGGAACUGAGACACGGUCCAUACUCCUACGGGAGCAGCAGUGGGAAUCUUAG